UAAAACAGAAACAGGAGAAAAAGAAGUACAAUGAAAAAGAUUAUCAAAUACUUAUUUGGACCCCUGGUUGUGGCAGAUACCAUUCCAAUCCUUGGGGAUAUCAUAGUGACCCCAAUUGUCCGUAUUCAUGACGUUAACAUUCUAUGGAAUAUCUGGCAUUAAACAUGAAAUGUUCUGAAUUUUGCUACACAAAUAGAAACUAAAUUUAUUUAUUUAUUUUUGUUUUGGUACCAGGAAUCGAACUGAUGACCUCAAGCUUGCCAGACAGGAGCUUAUGCCGCUGAGCUAUAUCCCCGGCCCUACUAAAUUUAUUUUUAAAGAUAUCGCACCUUAUUAUUGUGAAUAACUUCCAUAACUGAUAUAAAGCAGAUGACAGUGCAGGUACAGGGGCCGACAACAUGUACUGAUAAGAAAGCUUGGGUCCUCAGUGACCUUCACUCCCACAACCAGGCAGAGAGUGACGAGAGCCCUGAGGGAGCCGGGCAUCACCCACGUGCUGCAGCAGCGUGACCUGAAGUGACCAGUUAUGGCCUACUUGGACAGGAUACGGAAUGAAUGCUGAAUUAGAUGAUGACUAGCCUCACUUAGAAUUUUU